rnacentral:rRNA from 1 species
UCGAGCGAUGAAAUUCGACAGAUCCCUUCGGGGUGAAGAUGAAAUGGAUUAGCGGCGGACGGGUGAGUAACACGUGAGUAACCUGCCUUAGACAUUGGGAUAGCCUCGGGAAACCGGGAUUAAUACCAAAUGAAAUCACAUAUGCACAUGCAUAAAUGAUCAAAGCUCCGGCGGUCUAAGAUGGACUCGCGUCCCAUUAGCUAGUUGGUGAGGUAACGGCCCACCAAGGCGACGAUGGGUAGCCGGCCUGAGAGGGUGAACGGCCACAUUGGAACUGAGAAACGGUCCAAACUCCUACGGGAGGCAGCAGUGGGGAAUAUUGCACAAUGGAGGGAACUCUGAUGCAGCGACGCCGCGUGAACGAAGAAGGCUUUCGAGUCGUAAAGUUCUUUUAUAUGGGAAGAUAAUGACGGUACCAUAAGAAAAAGCCCCGGCUAACUACGUGCCAGCAGCCGCGGUAAUACGUAGGGGGCUAGCGUUGUCCGGAAUCACUGGGCGUAAAGGGUUCGCAGGCGGAAAUGCAAGUCAGGUGUUAAAGGCAGUAGCUUAACUACUGUAAGCAUUUGAAACUGCAUAUCUUGAGAAGAGUAGAGGUAAGUGGAAUUUUUAGUGUAGCGGUGAAAUGCGUAGAUAUUAAAAAGAAUACCGGUGGCGAAGGCGACUUACUGGGCUCAUUCUGACGCUGAG